rnacentral:rRNA from 1 species
AUGGAAAGAUUCAGCAUCUUGGUCGGCUGCUCGCGGCUUGUGGCUGGUGGUUGCGGCAGUGGCAGAGCAGUGUCCGAGAGCGCGGCGCAGGCAGUGGCCCCUGCUAUGUGGGCUGAUGGGAGCACACCGUGCAGCACUUCCAAGUAUGACAAUGUCCGCUCUACACCAAGUUUAGCUCUCCAUAUGGUGCCCAUUUUUUUACGGGUAAGGCAAGAGCUCUGCCAAUUCAUUAAAGUUGAGGGGAAACUGCAAAGAAGGCAUAAAAAGAAGAAGGAAAAGCGCCACAAAAUAAAUGGAGGUCUAAAUAUUGGAUGA